CUUCCGUAGGUGAACCUGCGGAGGGAUCAUUACAGAGUUAUCCAACUCCCAAACCCAUGUGAACUUAUCUCUUUGUUGCCUCGGCGCAAGCUACCCGGGACCUCGCGCCCCGGGCGGCCCGCCGGCGGACAAACCAAAACUCUUGUUAUCUUAGUUGAUUAUCUGAGUGUCUUAUUUAAUAAGUCAAAACUUUCAACAACGGAUCUCUUGGUUCUGGCAUCGAUGAAGAACGCAGCGAAAUGCGAUAAGUAAUGUGAAUUGCAGAAUUCAGUGAAUCAUCGAAUCUUUGAACGCACAUUGCGCCCAUUAGUAUUCUAGUGGGCAUGCCUGUUCGAGCGUCAUUUCAACCCCUAAGCACAGCUUAUUGUUGGGAACCUACGGCUUCGUAGUUCCUCAAAGACAUUGGCGGAGUGGCAGUGGUCCUCUGAGCGUAGUAAUCUUUUAUCUCGCUUCUGUUAGGUGCUGCCCCCCCGGCCGUAAAACCCCCAAUUUUUUCUGGUUGACCUCGGAUCAGGUAGGAAUACCCGCUGAACUUAAGCAUAUCAAUAAGCGGAGGAA
rnacentral:rRNA from 1 species